rnacentral:rRNA from 1 species
GGUUAAAAAGCUCGUAGUUGGAUCUCGGCGGGCAGGGGGUGGUUCGCUCUUCAGCGCUACUGCCCCGCUUUGCCCGUGUGAUUGGCGGAGGUUUCGGGGUGCUCUUCGUUGAGUGCCUCGGAGCGCCGUCAGGUUUACUUUGAAAAAAUUAGAGUGCUCAAAGCAGGCUUUUCACGCUUGAAUAUUCGUGCAUGGAAUAAUGGAAUAGGAACUCGUUUCUAUUUUGUUGGUUUUCGGAAAUCGAGUUAAUGAUUAACAGGGACAAUUGGGGGCAUUAGUAUUCAGACGACAGAGGUGAAAUUCUUGGACCGUCUGAAGACUGACUACUGCGAAAGCAUUUGCCAAGAGAGUUUUCAUUAAUCAAGAACGAAAGUUAGAGGUUCGAGGCGAUCAGAUACCGCCCUAGUUCUAACCAUAAACGAUGCCAGCUAGCGAUCUGCCGAGUUUUUUUUGUAGGCUCCGCAGGAAGCUUUCGGGAAACCAAAGCUUUUGGGUUCCGGGGGAAGUAUGGUUGCAAAGCUGAAACUUAAAGGAAUUGACGGAAGGGCACCACCAGGAGUGGAGCCUGCGGCUUAAUUUGACUCAACACGGGAAAUCUCACCAAGCCCGGACACUGGAAGGAUUGACAGAUUGAGAGCUCUUUCUCGAU